UACAGAGGUGGCAAGCGUUGUUCGGAAUUACUGGGCGUAAAGCGCGCGCAGGCGGUCUUCCAAGUCAGUGGUGAAAGCCUGGAGCUCAACUCCAGAACUGCCAUUGAAACUGUUAGACUUGAGUACGAGAGAGGUGAGUGGAAUUCCCAGUGUAGAGGUGAAAUUCGUAGAUAUUGGGAAGAACACCGGUGGCGAAGGCGGCUCACUGGGACGGUACUGACGCUGAGACGCGAAAGCGUGGGGAGCGAACAGG
rnacentral:rRNA from 1 species